ACUCUGAUGGAGGUCUUGAAUAUACUUUCACAGAAAUGACAGCAAAAACUGUAGUCAUUCGGGAAGAAACACGUUUCGAAGAAAAAUACCCCAAGGACUAGCAACAAGAGGGAUUCUGAGGAGUGAUGCUGCACAGAACAGAACUCUUCAGCCACCUUCCAGAGAACUCAAAACAGCAAACCAGAGAGUCGUGGACAAUCACCCAGCUCCAUCUAACUAUAAACUAUUGGUGUCACUGGCUGUGAUCGAUGUAUGACAAGAGGAAAAAGCAGAGAAACCUCAGUGACCUUAGUGGAAUAAAGAGCAUGUAACAGGACAUCAUCAUUCUUUGAUACCAAGUCCCCUGUCAACCCCCACAUUUUGAUACAACACAAGGAUACACCUUGACAAAAUCACAAAAGCAUGGAACCUAACCCAUUCCAAUUCAGUCCCCAGCACUUUCCCCACUCCUUUCUCCUCUCUCUGAACACUGAAUAAAAAGACAUGUCAGGGCCAACAGGAGAUUCAUAAAUGUACAAGCCUGGAAGUCUGUGACUAAACCCUAAAUGCGUUGCUUUCUGACUCACUUUUCCAGUCUUGAAGCAAGGGGGCUGAAACUUCAGAAAAGACUCUUAUUGCUGAACAUGAAGUGGAGAAUCCAGACCUGCAAAGAUGAAGGGCCAGCUGGGAAACACAGGCAUUCUCCAGUUCCUCCUGGCUGAGACCAUGAAGUGGGCUUGUGUGAAUGUUGACAUUUUUGACUUUUGGUUUUCUUUGAUGUGCCACAGGAAAGUAAAUACUCCACAGAUUUUUUUUUUUUUUUUAUGAAACUGGGAAAUGUUGGAUAUGACUAAAAACAUCAGUUGAGUUUGAGAUUUGCAACUUCUUCCAUCUUCAUCACUGGUCUUAAUGACUUUUCUUCAGGUUCACGUGUGAUUUACAAUGUUUUUCAAGCUGAUCCCUAGAGAUUUCUCCAAUAUGCUUCCAGAGUCUGCCCAGAGGGCCAAGCACAUACUUUUCCCCUUUUAUUGCCAGCUAUGUAACUAUAACCGCUUUCAUGUUUUACACAAUAAUUUCUGUUUAAGAUUGGAGUUAAAAAGAGUUCUACUGCACAUCUCAUCCAGGUUUUGAAAGACUUUCAAUUUUAGGAGUUACAGCUCUAUAUAAACAGCUCUAACAUUCCACCAAAUUUAUUUAGUGACUUUAUACAAUAGCACUGUUUAUGCAGUAGAAAUUUUUCUCUUAUAAAGUAAAGAUGUGCUUUAUUCCUUGCAGGAUUAAUGUGAUGGUGAAUAAGACAAAGGCUAAAGUUACUCAUAUAAAAACUGCAUAUUAAGAGCUAUCAUCACACAUCAGAAGACUCAAUGUUAGACUGUGGUUUCAGGGUGUUAGGAUAUUUGAACUCUGCUUAGCUAACUAAUCUACCCCUUUGAUAAGACUGGUUAUAUUUUUUUCUGUAUGAGAAGAGGUAAAGAAAUAGGUAUCCCUUGUCUAUUCAUUCAUUCACAUUAAAAUAAAUUACUCAGUUAUGGUGAGAACAGAUUAGGUAGGAAAAGACCAGCAAUGGGGAGACCAGUUAGGCAGCUAGUGCUGUAAUUUAGACAAGAGGCAAAAACCCAAGAUGAAAAUCAAACUUAUUUUCACAAGUUAUAGAAGUAAAUCAAACCUGCAUAGGUGCCCAACAAAAUUACUUUGUCUUACUGAAGGAGAAGGGAACAGUGUAGACUCUAUAGAACAAGACUGCCUGGGUUCAGAUUCUAGCUUAGGCUGUGGUAGACCUGGCUUGGACAAGUUGAUUAUCUUUGUUGUCUCAUCUUUAACAGGGUGCUAAUAGUAAUACUUGCCUCUGGAAUAAGGGAAAAAGUGUUUAUGAGGAGUUUAGAAAAGUUUUUUCCAGGCAAUAAUGCUAAUUGUUGUUUUCCUGGCACGUAAAGGAUAUAAACUGGGCAAUGCGGCUAAUGGCCCCUAGAGGACAGCAAAGGAAUAAGAAUAGAAGUGUAAGUGUACAAUGACAGAUUCACAUUCAAUGAGAAAGGUGCCAUGAGUUCUACAAAAAUGGAAGAUGAACUAAGAGCCAUUUAGAGCCUUGUUUGGACUCUUGCUCAUAGUUAAGACACCAGUAUAGACAAAUUAAGGACUUGAAUAAGUCUAGUGAUGAUAAAGAUCCAGGCAGUCAUCUGGGGACACACUUAAAUGGCCAUCAAGUCAGUGCUGGCUGCUGGGGCUGAGGACUUGGAGCUUUGUUUCUUCCCUUGUGACCUGGGCUUCCUCAGUGAGGUAGUUGGGUAACAAGGAUGAGUAUCCUCCUGAGGACAGGGAGAACCAACAUCACAUUUUAUGGCCUAACCUCAAAUGUGAUGUACGUCACUUCUGCCAUGCUCUGAGGAUGUAGCAAAACCCCACCCAGCUUUGAGGGCACAGGAUAUAGACCUCACCUCUUAAUGGAAGAGUUGCAAGGUUCUGGAAAAACAUACAAAAUGGAAAAUAUUAUUCUAUCCAUUUUUGUAGAUCAAAUGUUUUCCCAGAAAUUUCUGCUGGAUUCUUUCUCAUUUUCACACACAAAGCAUCAACAAGUCCUAACAGGCCUGACAGCAAAAUAUACCCCAAACUUGAUCUGUGCUGACGUCACCUCAACACUAUUCCCACCUUAAUCCAUCCCUACCUGGAUUAGAGCAAAGCCUGUGAAGAAGCUUUCUCAUAGCCAAUGUAGCCCAUGUGUCCUAUUAUUUAUAUAUUAGCCAUUGAGAGCUUUGAAAAAAUGUAAAUUUGCUCCUAUCCCCGUUCAUUUUAGAACCAUCCAAUGGCUUCCUAUUAUGCUAAGAAUAAAUGCCUAAUCCCUAAAUGUGACCCCAAAACUCUCCAUAUUUGUGGCCUGUUUACCCUUCUCACUUCUUCUUCAGGCUUCUCCCCCCCACACUCACAGUGUUCUUCCUCUUCUCCCUUAAAUACCUGGGUGUGUCUCUGAUCCCAAAUCUCUUCAUACUCACUCUGUUCCAUUAUUCAGAUCUCUGCUCACAAAGCAUCUUAUCAGACCACCCAACAUAAAAGUGCAUCUACUCAGUCACCUGACCCUCCUUUAUUUUUCUUACUAAUUAUUAUCUGAGAUUAUUA